rnacentral:lncRNA from 1 species
UUACUUUAUAUUUAAAUUCGACGAUUAAAGCAAAAACCAGCAGAGGCAAUCAACAAUCACUCCACAAAAACCUGAUGAAGCAGACAUUCACAACAUCAAACAGUUAAAGGAGUGAUCAAAUCAAUUAGCAGGACUCACAAAAAAUAUAAAAUCAAGCAGACACGAGAGUCUUCAAAACCAAGAAGACCCCAGCACAGAGCAGGAAACUCAGAUCGACGAAAGACCUUGGACCACCUGGGAGUCAUAGUAGAGCCCAAAAAGAAGCCAGGGAUGCGAGUAGAGAAAAAAAAAUCCAAAAACCAUUCUUCCAACUCAAAAUGGAAUCUAAACAGAGUGAAAUAACAAAAGAUUAUGUUCCCUCCCCACCCCGGCCCUAGCAAGCAAAUCCGCCAUGUUGUUUCCAGAUCUAUCAGUAUGUUGAAUUUGCCAUUGUUGAAGUUUAUUAGUCAGGGCAACAAUAUGCAGCACAUGAUUUCUCAACCUCCACGGAGCCAUAAUAGGACAUUAGGUCCACCUUAUAGCAGUGACAAAAAACCAAAUCGAAAAAAUUAAUGUGCUAUAAUCAAAUUAGUAAGCGAAUUUUCUCAUCCCAUUUGGCUAUACGGCGGCUCUACUCGCCGCACCACCUGACUUCAACAUGCAUAUUUCUGUUUUUUCAACAACAAAAAAAACCUCUUACCAAAUUCCUCUCUCUUAAAUUCGUUUUAACUUUAAAUUUUUUUUUGUCAAAUUUCUUUUUUUUUUCGAGUUUACGUAGGUUUGGUUUCUUUUGAAUUGUUUUUCGCGAUUUGAUUAUUAACCCUUUCAAACGCUGUUAGUUAACAAGUUUAGUCAAAAACUGCAAGACAUAUAAGAUACAUGGCAUGAUCACAUAUCAGAUACAGGGGAUUUCUAUUCAUAACAUGAGGCCAUAAAACUUUGUUUAAUCAAAUUUUUUCAAACUUCACGCAACCCCACUUUGCAUGCGAUUCGUUUAUUCUUUUUCUCGCUGUAACUGUAUUUUCUUUACUACUCUGUUUUACGAAUCUUUAUUUUUUUAUAAAGGAGCUUCGUUUCUCGAGAAAAAUAUAUAUAUUAAUAAUUUUUAAAGAAGACAAUAGGCUAAAUUCUUUAUUGACAAAUGCUAGCACAAGCAACCACCCGAUUCCUCAACUUGCAUAUACAAAAACACUAGUUAUGAUUGUGAUAUUUCUUAUCAAUGCUUUUCUGUUAACAAGAAAGAAAAUAUGUUGAAAUAUAUAUUAAUUUAGUGUUAUAUUAUCACAUCAAUAAAUGUAGAAAAAUAAAUUUUUUUAAGUAGUUGAAUAAAUCAAUAAAAAACAAAAAAUAUAAUUAACCUAUCUUUAAUUUUGAA